GUUUUGAGAGGUAUGGGCAUUGUGAAUGUAAUCGCGCGUUAUGUGGUAGGCACAGCACAGCGGAUGUCAUUUCAGAUCUAGAGCAGAGCCCAACUGGGGAGGUACCUCCACCUUACAGAAAACCGCA